rnacentral:lncRNA from 1 species
CGGGGGGCGGGCAGCGCAGGACGUGCGGUUCCCAAACGGCCUUUUAACAACGUCACCUGUCUGCCCCUUACACAGAGGGAGACGAGUGUAAGGGGAGAAAAAAAUGAAGUUUCAAGAGUCCUGUGCCCUUUUUUUGUGCUGGAAUAAUUUUUCUGUGUAUUCUUUAGAUUUUAGAACAGGAAGAUGAUGCUCGUUUAGCUGCGCAAAAAAAGGAUGCACCAAUUACUAGCUGUGGUGGCUCCACGGGAUUAAGAGGACUGAAAAUUUCCAAAGGGGCAGUAUUGCUAAUCCAGACCCUUACAUCCUCAAACAGCAAUACAGAGCAAUGCAAUGUUUUCUGUGCUAAAGUCUGCCAAAAUGCCAAGGGAUGACGAGGCAAAAUGAAGACCGGAACAGCUGCAAAUACUUAGAAAGAACUGUCUAAUUGAAUUUAAUUAUUCAAUAUAG